rfam:Ixodes scapularis strain Wikel colony gcontig_1108379507696, whole genome shotgun sequence.
UUCUGGGAGGAUUGACAGAUUCAGAGCACUUUCUUGAUUCGGUGGAUGGUGGUGCAUGUCCGUUCUUAGCUGGUGGAGCGAUUUGUCUGGUUAAUUCCGAUAACAAACGAGACACUAUCCUAUUAAAUAGGUGCGUGGUUUUCUGCACCUUGCACCAUUAGAGGGAUAAGCAGUUCCUAGCCGCGCGAAAAAGAGCAAGAACAGGUCGGUGAAUCCCUUACAU